GGAUGUGAGGGUGAUCUGGCUGCAACAUCUGUCACCCCAUUGAUUCAAGGUUGAUUCCAGUGCUCUGGCUGGCGAGGCAGGUGUCCUCGUCCUUCCUCAGUUCUCCAUGUGUAUCCCUCCCAAGCUCUGCUCACUCAGUAGAAGAGGAUGGUGGAGACCUUCCCCUAUAGAGGAGAACUGGUCUGGGUCAAGUAGCUUCGAUCCCAUGCUGGAACCUCCAAAUGAGCUCUGAAGGUCUAAGAAGGCGUCGGCGGUACUGCACGGAGUUAGAGAGGUCUCAAGGUGAAUAUUUUUAGAUUCAGUGCCCCUUCCUCCAGCCUAAAUGUUUUCUUUCUAG
rnacentral:snRNA from 1 species